AACGAACGCUGGCGGCAGGCUUUACACAUGCAAGUCGAGCGCCCCGCAAGGGGAGCGGCAGACGGGUGAGUAACGCGUGGGAACGUACCCUUUGCUACGGAAUAGCUCCGGGAAACUGGAAUUAAUACCGUAUGUGCCCUACGGGGGAAAGAUUUAUCGGCAAAGGAUCGGCCCGCGUUGGAUUAGCUAGCUGGUGGGGUAAUGGCCUACCAAGGCGACGAUCCAUAGCUGGUCUGAGAGGAUGAUCAGCCACAUUGGGACUGAGACACGGCCCAAACUCCUACGGGAGGCAGCAGUGGGGAAUAUUGGACAAUGGGCGCAAGCCUGAUCCAGCCAUGCCGCGUGAGUGAUGAAGGCCUUAGGGUUGUAAAGCUCUUUCACCGGAGAAGAUAAUGACGGUAUCCGGAGAAGAAGCCCCGGCUAACUUCGUGCCAGCCGCCGCGGUAACAC
rnacentral:rRNA from 1 species